rnacentral:sRNA from 1 species
GCUGAAGGUUUGGCCGAACGACCACCCCGCCGGCACGGCGUCGUCGAAGACGAUGGUCUGGCCGCCGGUGGAGGUGACAUUGAAGCUGAGCGCCUGUCCGGCCAGUCCAGCGAGACACUGCCAAUUGGCGCCCCAAUUCCUCGUCAUCUGGAUCCACCCCGUGCAUGACCCCUUCACCGACAUGCUCACGAUCGACCCGCUCCCGGCCAUGUUGGUCACCAGCACCAGCUCGAAGUAGUUGAACCCGUUGAUGAUGAACCUCACUCCCCCAUACCUCCAGCACUUCACCCUGCGGUAGAGGAUGGGGACGAUGCCAGCGCUGUAGAUGCCAAUGUUCUCCCAGGCAGGCUGGGACAUGUCGAAGUAAGGGCGGGUCGCGUUGCACCAGCCGCCGUAGUUGGUGCCCGUCACGGUGAUCGCCUUGCCGAGCUUGCACCAGUCGGGCGCCUUGCCGUAGUCGCAGAUGAUGAGGUAGCACUGCCCGCACGACGCGCCGUCGUUGAACAGCGGCGUGCUCAGCGCUGCGUUGUUGA